CCUUCUUUAAUCUUCAUGAGCCCUCUUGGAUCUCUUCUAAGUGAACUUUCCUUUCUUUCCUGUUCUAAGGCCUUUUAAGUAAACUUCCACUCCUGCUCUAAAAUGUGCCUAGGUCUCUUGUUCUGCUUUAUGCCCCUCAGUCUAGUUGUUUCUUCUGAGGAGGCAAGAUUUAAAGUUGCGGCCGACCUGUGCGGAUUUGCUACUGGUAACUCCUGGUAACUCCGGUCUCUUCCACCACUAACAAAAUGAGGUCCUUGAGGUGGGCUCUAAUUCAGUAUGACCGGUAUCCUUACAAAGAGGAGAUGAGGACCUAGGCACACUCAGAGGAAAGAUCGCUUGAAGACACAAGGAGAAGAUGACACUGUACAAGCUAAGGAAAGAGGCCUCAGAAGAAACCAACCCUGCUGACACCUGGGUCCUGGACUUCUAUCCCACAGAACUAGAAUCUUGCAGUGGGCAGAGUGCU
rnacentral:lncRNA from 1 species